rnacentral:rRNA from 1 species
AGUGGCGGACGGGUGAGUAACGCGUGAGAAUCUGCCUUGGGGUCGGGGACAACCACUGGAAACGGUGGCUAAUACCGGAUAAGCCGAUUGGUGAAAGAUUUAUUGCCCGAAGAGGAGCUCGCGUCUGAUUAGCUAGUUGGUGAGGUAAGAGCUCACCAAGGCAGCGAUCAGUAGCUGGUCUGAGAGGACGAUCAGCCACACUGGGACUGAGACACGGCCCAGACUCCUACGGGAAGCAGCAGUGGGGAAUUUUCCGCAAUGGGCGAAAGCCUGACGGAGCAAGACCGCGUGAGGGAGGAAGGCUCUUGGGUUGUAAACCUCUUUUCUCAGGGAAGAAGCUCUGACGGUACCUGAGGAACCAGCCUCGGCUAACUCCGUGCCAGCAGCCGCGGUAAUACGGAGGAGGCAAGCGUUAUCCGGAAUUAUUGGGCGUAAAGCGUCCGCAGGUGGCGAUUCAAGUCUGCUGUCAAAGCACGGGGCUUAACUCCGUAAAGGCAGUGGAAACUGAAUAGCUAGAGUGCCGUAGGGGUAGAGGGAAUUCCCGGUGUAGCGGUGAAAUGCGUAGAGAUCGGGAAGAACAUCGGUGCCGAAAGCGCUCUACUGGACGGCAACUGACACUCAGGGACGAAAGCUAGGGGAGCGAAUGGGAUUAGAUACCCC